UACGUAGGGGGCUAGCGUUGUCCGGAAUCAUUGGGCGUAAAGCGCGCGUAGGCGGCCAGAUAAGUCCGGUGUGAAAGCCACAGGCUCAACCUGUGAAUGCCGCUGGAAACUGUCUGGCUAGAGUCCGGGAGGGGCGAGUGGAAUUCCUGGUGUAGCGGUGAAAUGCGCAGAUAGUCAGGAGGAACACCAAUGGCGAAGGCAGCUCGCUGGAACGGAACUGACGCUGAGGACGACGAAGCGU
rnacentral:rRNA from 1 species